ACGGGUGAGUAACGCGUGGGAACGUACCCUUUUCUACGGAAUAACGCAUGGAAACGUGUGCUAAUACCGUAUGUGCCCUUCGGGGGAAAGAUUUAUCGGAAAAGGAUCGGCCCGCGUUGGAUUAGCUAGUUGGUGGUGUAAAGGCCUACCAAGGCGACGAUCCAUAGCUGGUCUGAGAGGAUGAUCAGCCACAUUGGGACUGAGACACGGCCCAAACUCCUACGGGAGGCAGCAGUGGGGAAUAUUGGACAAUGGGCGCAAGCCUGAUCCAGCCAUGCCGCGUGAGUGAUGAAGGCCUUAGGGUUGUAAAGCUCUUUCACCGGUGAAGAUAAUGACGGUAACCGGAGAAGAAGCCCCGGCUAACUUCGUGCCAGCAGCCGCGGUAAUACGAAGGGGGCUAGCGUUGUUCGGAUUUACUGGGCGUAAAGCGCACGUAGGCGGAUCGAUCAGUCAGGGGUGAAAUCCCAGAGCUCAACUCUGGAACUGCCUUUGAUACUGUCGAUCUGGAGUAUGGAAGAGGUGAGUGGAAUUCCGAGUGUAGAGGUGAAAUUCGUAGA
rnacentral:rRNA from 1 species